rnacentral:rRNA from 1 species
GACAGAGGUCUCAAGCGUUAGGCGGAAUCACUGGGCUUAAAGCGUGUGUAGGCGGACCGUUAAGUGCUUUGUGAAAUCCCACAGCUCAACUGUGGAAUUGCUUGGCAUACUGGCGGUCUUGAGCCAUCUAGGGGUUGCUGGAACAAACGGUGGAGCGGUGAAAUGCGUAGAUAUCGUUUGGAACGCCAACGGUGAAAACAGGCAACUGGGGAUGUGCUGACGCUGAGACACGAAAGCCAGGGGAG